AAAAAACCCGUAACCCCCUGGGGUUAUCCUGCGCUUGGAAGAAGAACUAGAAAAAGGAAAAAAUAUAGUGAGACUUUGAUUCUUCGUCGCCGUAGUAAAUAGGAGAGAAAAUCGAAUUUCUUUCUUCGUCUUAAAAAAAAUAGGAGUUAAUUAACUGUGACACGUUCACUAAAAAAAAAUCCUUUUGUAGCAAAGCAUUUAUUAAGAAAAAUAGAGAAGCUUAAUACAAAGGCGGAAAAAGAAAUCAUAAUAACUUGGUCCCGGGCAUCUACUAUUAUACCCACAAUGAUUGGCCAUACUAUCGCUAUACAUAAUGGAAGGGAACACUUACCCGUUUAUAUAAUCGACCUUAUGGUAGGACAUAAAUUGGGAGAAUUUUCACCUACUAUAAAUUUUAGAGGACACGCGAAAAAUGAUAAUAGAUCUCGUCGUUAAUUAAAUGAAUUCAAAAAAAUGAAUAAUGAAUAUAAUUUUUUUUUUUAGUGAGAGGUAAACCUUAUGAUAAAGAAGAAAAAGAAGAAAUCAUAUACUUCCGUAUAUGCUUUAGGGCAAUAUAUAUCUAUGUCUGCCCACAAAGCACGGAGAGUUAUUGAUCAGAUCCGUGGACGUUCCUACGAAGAAGCACUUAUGAUAUUAGAACUUAUGCCGUAUCGAGGAUGUUAUCCCAUUUUUAAAUUAGUUUAUUCUGCAGCAGCAAAUGCUAGUCACAAUAAGGGUUUCAAAGAAACCAAUUUAGUCAUUAGUAAAGCUGAAGUGAAUCAAGGAAAUACGGUGAAAAAAUUAAAACCUCGGGCACGAGGACGGAGUUACCCAAUAAAAAGAUCGACUUGUCAUAUAACUAUCGUAUUGGAAGAUAUAUCCUUAUAUCAACAAUAUGAAGAAUAUUUAAUGUAUUUAAAAAAACCUGGAUGCAGCAAUGAAAACAUAAAUCUAACAUGUUACGAUACAUAUAGUAGUGGAGGCCCAUGGGACAAAAAAUAAAUCCACUUGGUUUCAGACUUGGUACAACCCAAAGUCAUCAUUCUAUUUGGUUUGCACAACCAAAAAAGUAUUCUGAAGGUUUAGAAGAAGAUAAAAAAAUACGAGACUGUAUUAAAAAUUAUGUCCAAAAAAAUAUAAGAAUAUCCUCUGGUAUGGAGGGAAUUGCACGUAUCGAAAUUCAAAAAAGAAUCGAUCUCAUUCAGAUCAUAAUCUAUAUGGGAUUUCCUAAAUUAUUAAUUGAAGAUAAACCCCGAAGAAUCGAAGAAUUACAGAUGAAUGUUCAAAAAGAACUUAAUUGUGUCAAUAGAAAACUCAACAUUGCUAUUACCCGAAUUUCCAAUCCGUAUGGGCAUCCUAAUAUUCUUGCAGAAUUUAUAGCUGGCCAAUUAAAAAAUCGCGUUUCUUUUCGAAAAGCAAUGAAAAAAGCUAUUGAAUUAACUGAACAGGCGAAUACAAAAGGAAUUCAAGUACAAAUUGCAGGACGUAUCGACGGAAAAGAAAUUGCACGUGUUGAAUGGAUCAGAGAAGGCAGAGUUCCUUUACAAACAAUUGAAGCUAAAAUUGAUUAUUGUUCCUAUACAGUUCGAACUAUUUAUGGGGUUUUAGGAAUAAAAAUUUGGAUAUUCGUAGACGAAGAAUAAAAAAACUUUAUUUGUCUCUACAUUUUAUCCAAUGAUAAAAAACGAAAACUAUGUAGUAUAACACUAUAAAGAAAUAAAAAUAAAAACUUGUAGUCUUCUUUUUUAUGUUUAAGAAAAAAAAAUAAGCAAUUCUAUAAGGUUGAAUAAACAUUUCCAUCAAAACUCCUUUGAUAUAAUUGCUAUGCUUAGUGUGUGACUCGUUGGUUUAGGGUUAGAUUACGAUAAAAAAAAAGAACUUACCAACUAAUAACUACAGCAUUAAUAAAUAACCUAAGCAACUCAUUGCUUCGCAUUAUCUGGAUCCAAAAAAUUAGUCAAGAUAUGAUAGGCUGAUCAUAUCAUUGGAGCAACUGACUAAAAAAAAAGAAUAAAGAAAGAUGAUUAUUAAGUUAUGAAAGGUAAUCAAAAAGUAUGCGGAUAAAUGGAAGGAUGAAAGAAAGAGCGAAAAAAUUGAAUAUUAAUGAUAUAUGAUUCCAAUUUGGAAAAUCUAUGAGGUCACUGUAAGAAAAGCAAUGUAAUAAAGCAUCAAUACAGAUUCAUUCAUAAUAAUUAGAUAAAUCUGUUCCGAAAACAAAAAAUUAAGAGCCUUGAGCCAAUAAAAACUGAGAAAAUUGCCUAAAAAAAAAAAAAAGAAAUUCAAAAUUUCAUGUAAAAGCUCCAUUGUAGAAUUCAGGCCUAAUGAUUAAUCAAGAAGCGAUGGGAACGACGGAACCCAUGAAUAUAUAGGAUUCUAGUGAACAAGAAAUCUUAGUAAUUCAUUGGACAGGAUGGCGGAAUAAACCAGAAACUUUAUUAUCUAUUCUGAUUUCUUAUUUUGAUUCUGAGACCUCGGGGGAUAAACAGCAAACUUAAAUAGAUAUUGAAAGAGUAAAUAUUCGCCGGCGAAAAAUUGGUUUUUUUUUUCAAAUAAAAACAGUAAUAAAAGAUGAAAAAAACAAUGAAAAAAAUAAAAUAAGGAUUUGUUAUAAUAUCCUAACUCUAAUAAAAAUUACAUUUGUAAUGAUGAUAUUACGUUAUUUUUAAAUAAAUCGAAAUAAAAUUGAUCUUUGAUUCUAUUUCAAAAAAGACAUACACAAAUUUAGAAGAGAUAAGAUGAAAUAAAAAAAAAUACCAUGAUUAAUAGGAUUAAUCAUUAACUACAUCUAUAUCUUAAUUAAUCCUUUUAUUCGCGAGGAGCUGGAUGAGAAGAAACUCUCACGUCCAGUUCUGCAGUAGAGAUGGUAGAAAAAACCCAUCAACUAUAACCCAAAAAGAACCAAAUUUCGUAAACAACAUCGAGGAAGACUAAAAGGAAUAUCCUCUCGUGGGAAUCGUAUUUGUUUUGGCAGAUAUGCUCUUCAAACACUUGAACCCGCUUGGAUUACAUCUAGACAAAUAGAAGCAGGGCGACGAGCAAUGACACGAAAUAUACGACGUGGUGGAAAAAUUUGGGUACGUAUAUUUCCAGACAAGCCAGUUACAGUAAGACCCGCGGAAACGCGUAUGGGUUCUGGGAAAGGAUCCCCAGAGUACUAGGUAGCUGUGGUUAAACCAGGUAAAAUCCUUUAUGAAAUGGGUGGUGUACCAGAAAAUAUAGCCAGAAAAGCUAUUUCAAUCGCGGCAUCAAAAAUGCCUAUAAAAACCCAAUUCAUUAUUUCUGAAUAGGAAUAUAGAAUGAAAAAGCUAAAUAACAUUUAAGGAUAAAAAGAUUAUAAGUUUUUUUUUGACAAACAAUAUUUUUUUUACUUCGUCCUUUGCACUAAAAGAAGAGAUACAAAAAUAUGAUUCAACCACAAACCUAUUUGAAUGUAGCAGACAACAGCGGGGCUCGAAAAUUGAUGUGUAUUCGAAUAAUAGGAGCUAGUAAUCGCCGCUAUGCUCAUAUUGGUGACGUUAUUGUUGCUGUAAUCAAGGAAGCAAUCCCAAAUACUACUCUAGAAAGAUCAGAAGUGGUCAGAGCUGUAAUUGUACGUACUUGUAAAGAACUCAAACGUAAGAAUGGGACGAUAAUACGAUAUGACGACAAUGCCGCAGUUGUCAUUGAUCAAGAAGGAAAUCCAAAAGGAACUCGCGUUUUUGGGGCGAUCCCACGGGAAUUGAGACAAUUAAACUUUACUAAAAUAGUUUCAUUAGCUCCUGAAGUAUUAUAAGACCUAAAUAUCGAUAGUUAAUAUAGGAUAGGAUUAAAAAAAUGGUAUUGAAAUCAAAUUAAUUAUAAUUAAUAGAUUGUGUAUCACGCAUAUACCCUUAAUAAUUUUAUAUAUUAAUAAUUGAAUUCAUAUAUUAAUAUAUAAUUCGUCUCUAUUUUUAUAUAAAUAAAAGAAAAAUAACAUGUUGAUUAUAUCAAAAUUAUAGAAC
rnacentral:lncRNA from 1 species